rnacentral:rRNA from 1 species
AGCAGUCGCCGCGGGAAUACAGAGGGUGCAAGCGUUAAUCGGAAUUACUGGGCGUAAAGCGCGCGUAGGUGGUUUGUUAAGUUGGAUGUGAAAUCCCCGGGCUCAACCUGGGAACUGCAUCCAAAACUGGCAAGCUAGAGUAUGGUAGAGGGUGGUGGAAUUUCCUGUGUAGCGGUGAAAUGCGUAGAUAUAGGAAGGAACACCAGUGGCGAAGGCGACCACCUGGACUGAUACUGACACUGAGGUGCGAAAGCGUGGGGAGCAAACAGGAUUAGAUACCCCCGUAGUCCCUGUCUCUUAUAC